rnacentral:ncRNA from 2 species
GAGCAUUUUGGAAGCAGUAAUCCGCGGGCGGUAGCGUG